rnacentral:tRNA from 1 species
GGAGUUGUGGCUUAGCAGUAGAGCACAUGCCUAGCAUGCAUGAGGCACUGGGUUCAAUCCUCAGCACCA